AGCGAACGCUGGCGGCAGGCCUAACACAUGCAAGUCGAGCGCCCCGCAAGGGGAGCGGCAGACGGGUGAGUAACGCGUGGGAACGUGCCCUUCGGUCCGGAAUAACCCAGGGAAACUUGGGCUAAUACCGGAUACGUCCGAAAGGAGAAAGAUUUAUCGCCGAAGGAUCGGCCCGCGUAAGAUUAGCUAGUUGGUGAGGUAACGGCUCACCAAGGCAAUGAUCUUUAGCUGUUCUGAGAGGAAGAUCAGCCACACUGGGACUGAGACACGGCCCAGACUCCUACGGGAGGCAGCAGUGGGGAAUAUUGGACAAUGGGCGCAAGCCUGAUCCAGCCAUGCCGCGUGAGUGAUGAAGGCCUUAGGGUUGUAAAGCUCUUUUACCAGGGAAGAUAAUGACGGUACCUGGAGAAUAAGCCCCGGCUAACUUCGUGCCAGCCGCCGCCGUAAAAC
rnacentral:rRNA from 1 species